rnacentral:rRNA from 1 species
GUGCCAGCAGCCGCGGUAAUACGAAGGGUGCAAGCGUUACUCGGAAUUACUGGGCGUAAAGCGUGCGUAGGUGGUCGUUUAAGUCUGUUGUGAAAGCCCUGGGCUCAACCUGGGAACUGCAGUGGAAACUGGACAACUAGAGUGUGGUAGAGGGUAGCGGAAUUCCCGGUGUAGCAGUGAAAUGCGUAGAGAUCGGGAGGAACAUCCAUGGCGAAGGCAGCUACCUGGACCAACACUGACACUGAGGCACGAAAGCGUGGGGAGCAAACAGGAUUAGAUACCCUGGUAGUCCACGCCCUAAACGAUGCGAACUGGAUGUUGGGUGCAAUUUGGCACGCAGUAUCGAAGCUAACGCGUUAAGUUCGCCGCCUGGGGAGUACGGUCGCAAGACUGAAACUCAAAGGAAUUGACGGGGGCCCGCACAAGCGGU